UAGANGGUGAUCAUGGCUCAGAUUGAACGCUGGCGGCAGGCCUAACACAUGCAAGUCGAGCGGAAACGAGUUAUCAAAGCCUUCGGGUGGAGAUAACGGCGUCGAGCGGCGGACGGGUGAGUAAUGCCUGGGAAAUUGCCCUGAUGUGGGGGAUAACCAUUGGAAACGAUGGCUAAUACCGCAUAAUAGCUUCGGCUCAAAGAGGGGGACCUUCGGGCCUCUCGCGUCAGGAUAUGCCCAGGUGGGAUUAGCUAGUUGGUGAGGUAAUGGCUCACCAAGGCGACGAUCCCUAGCUGGUCUGAGAGGAUGAUCAGCCACACUGGAACUGAGACACGGUCCAGACUCCUACGGGAGGCAGCAGUGGGGAAUAUUGCACAAUGGGCGCAAGCCUGAUGCAGCCAUGCCGCGUGUAUGAAGAAGGCCUUCGGGUUGUAAAGUACUUUCAGCAGUGAGGAAGGUGGUGUCGUUAAUAGCGGCNUCAUUUGACGUUAGCUGCAGAAGAAGCACCGGCUAACUCCGUGCCAGCAGCCGCGGUAAUACGGAGGGUGCGAGCGUUAAUCGGAAUUACUGGGCGUAAAGCGCAUGCAGGUGGUUUGUUAAGUCAGAUGUGAAAGCCCGGGGCUCAACCUCGGAAUUGCAUUUGAAACUGGCAGACUAGAGUACUGUAGAGGGGGGUAGAAUUUCAGGUGUAGCGGUGAAAUGCGUAGAGAUCUGAAGGAAUACCGGUGGCGAAGGCGGCCCCCUGGACAGAUACUGACACUCAGAUGCGAAAGCGUGGGGAGCAAACAGGAUUAGAUACCCUGGUAGUCCACGCCGUAAACGAUGUCUACUUGGAGGUUGUGGCCUUGAGCCGUGGCUUUCGGAGCUAACGCGUUAAGUAGACCGCCUGGGGAGUACGGUCGCAAGAUUAAAACUCAAAUGAAUUGACGGGGGCCCGCACAAGCGGUGGAGCAUGUGGUUUAAUUCGAUGCAACGCGAAGAACCUUACCUACUCUUGACAUCCUCAGAAGAGACUGGAGAC
rnacentral:rRNA from 1 species